AGGGAAUCUUCCACAAUGGACGAAAGUCUGAUGGAGCAACGCCGCGUGAGUGAAGAAGGUUUUAGGAUCGUAAAACUCUGUUGUUGGAGAAGAACAGGGACUAGAGUAACUGUUAGUCCUUUGACGGUAUCCAACCAGAAAGCCACGGCUAACUACGUGCCAGCAGCCGCGGUAAUACGUAGGUGGCAAGCGUUGUCCGGAUUUAUUGGGCGUAAAGCGAGCGCAGGCGGUUUUUUAAGUCUGAUGUGAAAGCCUUCGGCUUAACCGAAGAAGUGCAUUAGAAACUGGAAAACUUGAGUGCAGAAGAGGACAGUGGAACUCCAUGUGUAGCGGUGAAAUGCGUAGAUAUAUGGAAGAACACCAGUGGCGAAGGCGGCUGUCUGGUCUGUAACUGACGCUGAGGCUCGAAAGUAUGGGGAGCGAAC
rnacentral:rRNA from 1 species